GGAUUAGAUACCCUGGUAGUCCACGCCGUAAACGAUGGUGACUAGGUGUGUGCGAUACAAAGUGCGCGCCCAAGCGAAAGUGAUAAGUCACCCACCUGGGGAGUACGCCCGCAAGGGUGAAACUCAAAGGAAUUGACGGGGGCCCGCACAAGCGGUGGAGCAUGUGGUUUAAUUCGAUGCAACGCGAAGAACCUUACCUACUCUUGACAUCCAUAGAACUUUCCAGAGAUGGAUUGGUGCCUUCGGGAACUAUGAGACAGGUGCUGCAUGGCUGUCGUCAGCUCGUGCUG
rnacentral:rRNA from 1 species